rnacentral:rRNA from 1 species
AGAUGGCGACCGGCGCACGGGUGAGUAACACGUAUCCAACCUGCCGAUAACUCGGGGAUAGCCUUUCGAAAGAAAGAUUAAUACCCGAUGGUAUAAUCAGACCGCAUGGUCUUGUUAUUAAAGAAUUUCGGUUAUCGACGGGGAUGCGUUCCAUUAGGCAGUUGGUGAGGUAACGGCUCACCAAACCUUCGAUGGAUAGGGGUUCUGAGAGGAAGGUCCCCCACAUUGGAACUGAGACACGGUCCAA